rnacentral:rRNA from 1 species
UAACAAAAACAUGGUUUUUUGAUUAAUAAUUUAAGAUUGGUUCUGCUCACUGAAUUAAAAAAUUUAAAGAGCUGCAGUAUUUUGACUGUGCAAAGGUAGCAAAAUCACUUGUUUUUUAAUUGUGAACUGGAAUGAAAGAGCUGAUGAGAUAUAAACUGUCUCAAAUUAAUUAAUAGAAAUUGAAAUUUAAGUUAAAAUUCUUAAAUAAUAUUAUUAGACGAGAAGACCCUAUAGAAUUUUAUAAAUUUUUUUACUUUUAUAAUAAGUUUAGUUUAAAUAGGAAUAAAAUUUAAAUUUAUUUGGUUGGGAGGAUUAUUAAAUUUGUUUAACUUUAAUUUUUAAAGCCAAUAAUUUUUGAAUGACUGAUUUUAAAAUAAUUAAAAGAUUAAAUUACCUUAGGGAUAACAGCGUAAUGUUUUUGGAGAGAUCAUAUUAAUAAAAAUGUUUGCGACCUCGAUGUUGAAUUAAGAUAAAAAUUAAAUGUAGAAGUUUAAUAUUUAAGUCUGUUCGACUUUUAAAAUCUUACGUGAUCUGAGUUC